UUCCUCUGCGGAGCUGCGGCGAGAGCGCGGCCCGGCCGAACGGGCGCGGGACGCGGAGCCCCCGACGGCGCGACCAGCGGGCGCGCCCGCGCUCCCCGCACCCCGCCUGGCCCUGCCGGCCACCCCCGCGCGCAGCCUAGUCCCCCAGCGCCCUGCUCCGCCAGCGCCCCGUCCCGCCCGCACACCCCCGCGAUGCGGCACGGCGUCGCCUGGGCGCUGCUGGUGGCCGCGGCCCUGGGGCUUGGGGCGCGCGGGGUGCGCGGCGCGGUGGCCCUUGCCGACUUCUACCCGUUCGGCGCCGAGCGCGGCGACGCCGUCACCCCCAAGCAGGACGACGGCGGCUCGGGGCUGCGGCCGCUCUCGGUGCCCUUCCCGUUCUUCGGUGCCGAGCACUCCGGACUCUACGGUCUCCUCCACCACGUGCCCUCUAGUGCGCCUCCCACCCCACAACUGCCAACACCAUCCACAGCGCCCACUGCGUUUUCCCCACCUGCUCAGGAAGGCCUCCCCACCUCGGUGGCAGCACUGGGUGACCUGACUGUGUGGGAGGGGCAGCCAUGCUGUCGGUGCUACCCCCUGAAAGUCCCUCUGGACCAGGACUUGGACAGAGGAAUGGGACUGACUCCUGGAAGUACGAAGUGGGUAGGACAGAAUGGUGCUCAGCGUUGGCCCGAGCUGGAGGAGGCCUGUCCACUUGAGGUGAACAACAACGGGAUCAUCUCCUUCCUGAAGGAGGUUUCUCAGUUCACUCCAGUGGCCUUCCCCAUUGCCAAGGACCGCUGCGUGGUGGCAGCCUUCUGGGCAGAUGUGGACAACCGGCGUGCAGGCGACGUGUACUACCGGGAGGCCACCGACCCAGCCGUGCUGCGCCGAGCCACGGAGGACGUCAGGCGCUACUUCCCCGAGCUCCUGGACUUCAGUGCCACCUGGGUUUUUGUUGCCACCUGGUACCGAGUGACCUUCUUUGGAGGCAGUUCCUCAUCCCCUGUCAACACGUUCCAGACUGUGCUCAUCACAGACGGCAAGCUCUCCUUCACCAUCUUCAACUAUGAGUCCAUCGUGUGGACCACAGGCACGCACGCCAGCAGCGGGGGCAACGCCACGGGCCUCGGGGGCAUUGCAGCCCAGGCUGGCUUCAACGCAGGCGAUGGGCAGCGUUACUUCAGUAUCCCCGGCUCGCGCACAGCAGACAUGGCCGAGGUGGAGACCACCACCAACGUGGGUGUGCCCGGGCGCUGGGCGUUCAGAAUCGAUGAUGCCCAGGUGCGCGUGGGGGGCUGCGGCCAUACAACCUCCGUGUGCCUGGCCCUGCGCCCCUGCCUCAACGGCGGCAAGUGCAUCGACGACUGCGUCACGGGCAACCCCUCCUACACCUGCUCCUGCCUCUCGGGCUUCACGGGGCGGAGGUGCCACCUGGACGUGAACGAAUGUGCCUCCCAGCCCUGUCAGAAUGGCGGGACCUGUACUCACGGCAUCAACAGUUUCCGCUGCCAGUGCCCAGCUGGCUUUGGGGGACCCACCUGUGAGACAGCCCAAUCCCCCUGUGACACCAAAGAGUGUCAACAUGGUGGCCAGUGCCAGGUGGAGAACGGCUCUGCAGUGUGUGUGUGCCAGGCCGGAUACACCGGAGCAGCCUGCGAGACGGAUGUGGACGACUGCAGCCCUGACCCCUGCCUGAAUGGAGGCUCUUGUGUUGACCUAGUGGGGAAUUACACCUGCUUGUGUGCCGAGCCCUUCAAGGGACUUCGCUGUGAGACAGGAGACCACCCAGUGCCAGACGCCUGCCUCUCGGCCCCUUGCCACAAUGGGGGCACCUGUGUGGAUGCGGACCAGGGCUACGUGUGCGAGUGCCCCGAAGGCUUCAUGGGCCUGGACUGCAAGGAGAGAGUCCCCGAUGACUGUGAGUGCCGCAAUGGAGGCAGAUGCCUGGGCGCCAACACCACCCUCUGCCAGUGCCCCCCGGGAUUCUUUGGGCUUCUCUGUGAAUUUGAAAUCACAGCCAUGCCCUGCAACAUGAACACACAGUGCCCAGAUGGGGGCUACUGCAUGGAGCACGGCGGGAGCUACCUCUGCGUCUGCCACACCGACCACAAUGCCAGCCACUCCCUGCCAUCACCCUGCGACUCGGACCCCUGCUUCAACGGAGGCUCCUGCGAUGCCCAUGACGACUCCUACACCUGCGAGUGCCCGCGCGGGUUCCACGGCAAGCACUGCGAGAAAGCCCGGCCACACCUGUGCAGCUCAGGGCCCUGCCGGAACGGGGGCACGUGCAAGGAAGCGGGCGGCGAGUACCACUGCAGCUGCCCCUACCGCUUCACUGGGAGGCACUGUGAGAUCGGGAAGCCAGACUCGUGUGCCUCUGGCCCCUGUCACAACGGCGGCACCUGCUUCCACUACAUUGGCAAAUACAAGUGUGACUGUCCCCCAGGCUUCUCCGGGCGGCACUGCGAGAUAGCCCCCUCCCCCUGCUUCCGGAGCCCAUGUGUGAAUGGGGGCACCUGCGAGGACCGGGGCACGGAUUUCUUCUGCCACUGCCAAGCAGGGUACAUGGGACGCCGGUGCCAGGCAGAGGUGGACUGCGGCCCCCCGGAGGAGGUGAAGCACGCCACACUGCGCUUCAACGGCACGCGGCUGGGCGCAGUGGCCCUGUAUGCAUGUGACCGUGGCUACAGCCUGAGCGCCCCCAGCCGCAUCCGGGUCUGCCAGCCACACGGUGUCUGGAGUGAGCCUCCCCAGUGCCUUGAAAUCGAUGAGUGCCGGUCUCAGCCGUGCCUGCAUGGGGGCUCUUGUCAGGACCGCGUUGCUGGGUACCUGUGCCUCUGCAGCACAGGCUAUGAGGGCGCCCACUGUGAGCUGGAGAGGGAUGAGUGCCGAGCUCACCCCUGCAGAAAUGGAGGGUCCUGCAGGAACCUCCCAGGGGCCUAUGUCUGCCGGUGCCCUGCAGGCUUCGUUGGAGUCCACUGUGAGACAGAGGUGGACGCCUGCAACUCCAGCCCCUGCCAGCACGGAGGCCGGUGUGAGAGCGGCGGCGGAGCCUACCUGUGCGUCUGCCCAGAGAGCUUCUUCGGCUACCACUGCGAGACAGUGAGUGACCCCUGCUUCUCCAGCCCCUGUGGGGGCCGUGGCUAUUGCCUGGCCAGCAACGGCUCCCACAGCUGCACCUGCAAAGUGGGCUACACGGGCAAGGACUGCACCAAAGAGCUCUUCCCACCAACGGCCCUCAAGAUGGAGAGAGUGGAGGAGAGUGGGGUCUCUAUCUCCUGGAACCCGCCCGAUGGUCCAGCCGCCAGGCAGAUGCUUGAUGGCUACGCGGUCACCUAUGUCUCCUCCGACGGCUCCUACCGCCGCACGGACUUUGUGGACAGGACCCGCUCCUCGCACCAGCUCCAGGCCCUGGCGGCCGGCAGGGCCUACAACAUCUCCGUCUUCUCAGUGAAGCGAAACAGUAACAACAAGAAUGACAUCAGCAGGCCUGCCGUGCUGCUGGCCCGCACGCGACCCCGCCCUGUGGAAGGCUUCGAGGUCACCAAUGUGACGGCUAGCACCAUCUCAGUGCAGUGGGCCCUGCACAGGAUCCGCCAUGCCACCGUCAGUGGGGUCCGUGUGUCCAUCCGCCACCCUGAGGCCCUCAGGGACCAGGCCACCGAUGUGGACAGGAGUGUGGACAGGUUCACCUUUAGGGCCCUGCUGCCUGGGAAGAGGUACACCAUCCAGCUGACCACCCUCAGUGGGCUCAGGGGAGAGGAGCACCCCACAGAGAGCCUGGCCACCGCGCCGACACACGUGUGGACCCGGCCCCUGCCUCCAGCAAACCUGACCGCCGCCCGAGUCACUGCCACCUCUGCCCACGUGGUCUGGGAUGCCCCGACUCCAGGCAGCUUGCUGGAGGCUUAUGUCAUCAAUGUGACCACCAGCCAGAGCACCAAGAGCCGCUAUGUCCCCAACGGGAAGCUGGCUUCCUACACGGUGCGCGACCUGCUGCCGGGACGGCGGUACCAGCUCUCUGUGAUAGCAGUGCAGAGCACGGAGCUCGGGCCGCAGCACAGCGAGCCCGCCCACCUCUACAUCAUCACCUCCCCCAGGGAUGGCACCGACAGACGCUGGCACCAGGGAGGACACCACCCUCGGGUGCUCAGGAACAGACCACCCCCCGCGCGCCUGCCGGAGCUGCGCCUGCUCAAUGACCACAGCGCCCCCGAGACCGCCACCCAGCCCCCCAGGUUCUCGGAGCUUGUGGACGGCAGAGGAAGAGUGAGCGCCAGGUUCGAUGGCUCACCCAGCAAAGCAGCCACCGUGAGAUCACAACCCACAGCCUCGGCGCAGCUCGAGAACAUGGAGGAAGCCCCCAAGCAGGUCAGCCUGGCCCUCCAGCUCCCUGAACACGGCAACAAGGACAUCGGAAGUCUGGACUUGCUGCUAGCCCCUGUGAGCACCAGGAGGACUGGUUUGUGCAUCCGACGCAGAGAGUGAAGGAUUCUCUUAAUUCAGACGUCCCUGGCAACUGUUCAGAAAACCCCUGUCAGAACGGAGGCACUUGUGUGCCGGGCACAGACGCCCACAGCUGUGACUGCGGGCCAGGGUUCAAAGGCAGACGCUGCGAGCUCGCCUGUAUAAAGGUGUCCCGCCCCUGCACAAGGCUGUUCUCCGAGACAAAGUCCUUUCCAGUCUGGGAGGGAGGCGUCUGUCACCAUGUGUAUAAAAGAGUCUACAGAGUUCACCAAGACAUCUGCUUCAAAGAGAGCUGUGAAAGCACAAGCCUCAAGAAGACCCCAAACAGGAAACAAAGUAAGAGUCAGACACUGGAGAAAUCUUAAGGAUUUAAGACGUUCUUGUUACACUCCACCAACCUCACGAGUUUCUAACACCCAGGAAGAUGAGGUCUAAAAACUGGAUGAAAAAGGACACCCUGAGAGAAAAGGUCCUAGCUGGAGUCAGUCCCCUCUGUGACCUCUCUCCUCAGGCCUCUAGAGGACAGAUGGCCAGGCCUGUGCACACACCAGCCCGCCCUGAGAGACCCCUCUGGGACCAACCACCUGUGAGUCCUGCGAUGCGUUUCAGCAGCCUGUGCCCUCACCCAGGCUGCAGUUCCUGAAGGUGUGGUCUGUGUCUCUGCGGAUGAGAUGACAGCUCGCCAUUCCCCGGGAUCCGUGAGGCUGUCAGUCAGCCACGCUUCUGCAGUAUGCAGAAACCUGUUCUUAGACUCCAAAGCCAGAGAAAGAAUUCUCCCUUCGAGGCCCAACAAAUUGAGAAGGAACUGUGAUGGACCACUUCCAAAACAGAGACGGGGGCAGGGGCUGAAGGGCAGAGACCAGGUGAUGUCAGAAGGAAUGCCGGGUUGCAGACACAGCCGCCCCUGCUCUGGUCCUCCAGCGUGUUUAUGACGCUCGUGCAGGUCGACGAGCCAUCCUACGGACUAGUUAACACUAAGGUGGAGUUCAGACUUUUUUAGACAACGGCGCGACUGGCAGCCUUUCACUGUCAAGGGUCAGACGGUAAACAUUUUCAGCUUUGCAGACCAGAGGUCCCUGUGGCUACAGUAGCGCAGACACAGCCACAGGCAUGUCAUUGAAUGGCUGCGGCUAUGUUCCAAUCAAAACUUAUUUACAAUAACAGGUGGUGGCCAAAUUGGCCCAUGGGCCUUAUUUGGUGAACCCUGUUCUAUGAGAUCACCUAGGCUUCAGCCUUCAACAGUGGAAGCCAUCCCCUGAAUGACAAGUCACAAGGGUAUCAAAGACCCCUGAAUUUUCAUGGAAAAAGCUAUCCAGACCCCUGCUUGGAAAGCUAAGGCACACUGCCACGAAGCAGCAAGGACGCCUUACAAGUCUCAGUGCAACAGAGAUGGACACCUGGGCUGGGCUGGACAAUGUUUAAGGUUCCUUUCAGUCCAUGACUCAAGUGAUACUGUUUUAGGCUAUCAGGUAGUAAACACGAUCUUAGACAUCCCCAUCUUCGUAAGCAGAACAGUACGGCACUUCACCACAUCUGCUUCCCACCGUGCUUCUAAGCAGCUGUCUUCCCCCUGCUAAUGUUACAACCAAAGCAGCCACCCCACCUCCUCAAGUGUUGAGCCUCACGACGGCUGACCCAGCUGGAAAGCCAGCGCCCUGCCGCGUCACCCUGACUCUGCUCAGAGCCAGCAUUCCAGCCACAAAGAGGGCCUCCUUCCUUUCCUCUUUCAUAAAAAUGUUUUUUGAAGAGUUGAGUAUAUUUUAGGCUUUUUAUCUUUAUUAAAAUUUCAUGUGCAUGUGUCUGUGUAUUCUGCAAUUUGUCAUUUUCAGAAAGAAGGAACAGGCAAUUCGAGAAGUUUCACCUGUACUCCCGAGCUGUUCCCCAGGCUCCAGACCCACUUGAGAGCAGAAGGUGGAGCUCAAUGAAGGGUCUCGAGCUCAGCGAAGGGUCACUGGGUGAACUGAGAGAAACCACGUUCACAAACGCGUACUGCGGACUUCCUGCAGCCCUGGGACCUGUCACUGUUUGUCCAUGUAAGAUACAGCAUUACUAGCAGAUGCUAAGAUCGAGUGAUAUCACUGGAAAAGUAGGUGAAUCCUACUAGGAAACUUUCUACUCCCUACUAGGACCUCAAGCCCCUCAGCCACACAGCAAAUGCUAAUAUGCUCCAGUGUUGGCUUAGAAGCCUUUGUGUCAACAAGAACUGGCUCCUGAGUCCCAAGCUUGGUGCCACACAGCAAAUGCUAAUAUGCUCCAGUGUUAGCUUAGAAGCCUUGUGUCAACAAGAACUGGCUCCUGAGUCCCAAGUGCUGUCACAAGACUUGCCCACUGGGAUGUUUUCCACAUUAAAUAUCGAGUAAAAAGACUUCCUGGUGCUCAGGAAUUACAGUUCGUUCUUGAAACAUUCCAAAGAGGCCACCACAGCUUUUCCCAUGUGGCUUCUUUUACAAACUCGAAUGGCUUCCUUGAAAAUACUCAAAGUCCACCCAAGGAAAUUAGUAAUAAUAGAAUCAGAAAACUGUCAGGAGCAUAAAGAUUUACUUCUCUAUCAAAAUGAAAGAAGCAAUCAUGAGUUGCUGAAUUACCCAUCUGCUAAUGAAACCGGGAUGGACUGAUCAUCUAACCAAGUGCAGACUGAGGAUUCUACUUAGUCAUCCGAUUGGGUACAACAACAGCAGCCUAGGUUCUAGGGAGGGUGGCAGUGACCGGGAUGCCACAAUGGAAGAGAAAAUGAAAACACUGGCACAGUGAAAUGUCUCAUUUCCAAACAGUUUUGCCUAUGGCCAAGCAAGGCAAUAAAGACAAACUCUCCCUUUUCCCCAUUGCAUGUGGGCUGCCAGGUACAAGUAAGGGAAUCUUUGCUGUGCCCACUGUCCUCCAGUAGAGAACCCAACAGGCAAGGGCCCCACUCAGGUAUCAGCUCACCUCCUGCACCUCCCCUAAGCAGGAACUCCUUCCACUGGCAAAGGACUGCCACUGCCAUCUGACUCAACUGUGGCGAUGUGGACGGAGUCACCAAGCUGCUUUUCUUUUGCAAAACAAAAGUCUUUUUCUUUGCAGUCACCGCUGUAAGACGAGGCUGCUGGAGAAAACAAAAGCACCUAGAUUUCAGUGCUGAAUCCCCACAAUUGCAUGCAGCUCACACCUACCAGGGGUAUUCCAGUGCAUAGGGGAAAGGAACCCGGCUGAAAAACCAGCUCCUUAUUUUUCUUUUAAAUAAAAUAAUACAAUCCUAAGUCCAUUUACCAUCUGAAGUUGUCACGAGCGAACAGUCACGUUACUGUUGUGGACCAGGCCUUAGAUGAGUUUCUCAGGCUCAGCACUGACAUUCUGGGCCGGAUCAGCCUCUCUUGUGGGACCAUCCUGUGCACUGCAGGAUGCUUUAUAGCACCCCUGGCCUCUACCCACUAGAAUCCUACAAUCUACCAGAUCCUAGGAUCUAGCUGAUCCUAGAAUGCUACCAAGGAGACUUGAAUUUUGGUCCCAUCAUCAAAAAUGCCUUCUGCAUCAAUCCUAUGCCAAUUUCCCCUAAAAGAGGGCUAACUGGAAUGUUCUAGGAUGUACCAACCCUCCAGGACCCUCUUAGAGCUCAUGCCAUCAGAGACAGGCCUCCACCUCAGGGAUCACCCCGGCUGACAUCAAAUUCCUCUUCUCUUUUCCCAACAUUUCACAUUGUUCUUCGGACUCACUGAGUUCCCUAAGGUGACACGCCCCCCCCCACACCCACCUUGGGGGGUCACGGAUUGCUCCCUGUGGCCCUGGCUUCAGCCCACCUGCUCCAUGACCCUAUGCUCUUCUCCUCUGGUUCUCGAAGCUGUCUGUAACCAGGGCAGGGGAGAUAACUGUAUGGGACCAUUCCCUGGCCUCCACCUGCCCCAGCACUCUCCAGGCCAGCACAGUCUGGCACUACAGACUACAGGGCUGGAGACACCAGGCUUGGAAGUGACCACUGGCCAAGAGCUGACAUAAAAGCCAACUUCCCCGAACAGGAAGGGCCUGUUCUUCACAAAGAUAAAGAAAACUGCCAGCAUUUUGCUGGCCUUAAGAAGCCAUGCAAAAUUAACCAGUACAUCAUGAAUUAACUUCUUUUACUCUGCUGUGCACUGAAUACCAUUAUGAAGCAAUAUACUUUUGGACUAAAAAUAAGCAUUUUUGUGGAAAAUCUGCUACAUGUUUUCAUAAAAUAAAGUGCUAUGAUGUACUAAAACCUCA